UACGUAGGGUCCGAGCGUUAUCCGGAAUUAUUGGGCGUAAAGAGUACGUAGGUGGUGUGGUAAGUUAUUCGUUAAAUCGCAAAGCUCAACUUUGCAACCGCGGAUAAUACUGCCAUUCUUGAGGAUAGCAGGGGCAAGUGGAAUUCUGUAAGUAGCAGUGAAAUGCGUUGAUAUGCAGAGGAACACCAAUGGCGAAGGCAGCUUGCUAGGCUAUAUCUGACACUGAGGUACGAAAGCGUGGGUAGCGAACGGG
rnacentral:rRNA from 1 species